AUUUUGUAUCCUUUGACCAACAUCUCCUCCCUGCCAAUAGAAUUGUUAUAAAUAAUCCAUGUUCUACUCAGCUCUGCAAAGUCUUUACCUCGGCCCAUGGGACUCUCUGUGGACUGGGUUUCUCGUUCUCUCCCCCACAUUGAACAAGCUGCAGCCUCAGUAACCGUAGCAGCUUGACUACUGGCACGUAGCUUGGAUUCAUUCAGCAUCGAGUACCUAGUACCUACUGAGCGCCUACGAUAUGCCAGACACUUUGCUAGGCACUGAGGGGACACAACACUGAGCAAGGCAGAAACAGCCUCUGUUCGAGAAGCUUACAGUCUAGCACAGGAAGACCAAAAAUAAACAAAUGGAAAAGUCAAUGUGUCUUAGAUAAGUGUUACAAAGAGGGGCCAGACAAUCUGGGCGAGGGGAGUAGAGAAUGUGGAGGUGGGGGUGAAAUUUUGUUCAGGGUGAGGACGACUGGGUGAUCAUGUGGCAUCUGAGGGGUGAGCUGGAGGAAGUGAGAGGACGAAGCCUGUGGACAUCUGGGAAGGAAGUGGCAAGAAGAGGGAAUAGCCCAUGGGAAGGCCCUGUGCGGCAGGGAGCUGGUUUGGCUGUUUCAGGAAGAACGAGGAGGCCGCUGUGGUGGAGCGUGGAAGGACAGAGGGCGGAGGCUGGGAGGGUUGGCGGGGCAGGUUCAUGGGGGCCUUGCAGGCCUCUGUCAGCACAUCUGCUUCCACUCUGAGUGAGGUGGGAAGACUUUGGUAGCUUCAAGGAGGGAGGUGAGGGAUGAGAUCUGACUUACCUGGCUGCUGCGGGGAGAACUGACUGCAGGGGCAAGGGUCAAAGCAGGGAGACCAGUCGGAAGGCUUCUGUGGUUGCCCAGGAAGGAGGGAAGGCGGCUGAGUACAUUCAUUCAUUGACUCAGUGAAUGAAAGAAUGAAUGAAUCCUUCUUCUGUUAUUAGCCAUUUAAGUCUCCAGUGUUGUGUUAACAUAAAUAAUACUAUAAGCAACAUCUCUGUACAUAAUGAUUUUUAUUAUUGUUGAUAUUUUGCUUUAGGAUUUCCCUUCAUAAUAGUUUCUCAAACGCAGAGCUGCUUGCUCAAAGGGGACAGAUAUUUCAAUGCUCCUAAAACAUGCUGUCAAAUUGCUUUCCAUAAAGUAUAGAAGGGCAUUAACAUUUUUAAAAAAAAUGUGCUAAGUUAAAAAGCCAGAAAGGACCUUUUGCCCUUUCUUCCAUUUGAGCAUGGGACCAUAACUUGCUUGGUUUAUCCUGCAGGCUUGUAGUGGCUGGAGGGGUUAGAGGCGGGGCGACAGGCUGGUCUCCUGGGGCUCGUCAGCUGGGAGUGGGUGACAGUGGAGGGUGCGAGCUCACCCUCAACAUGCUUCACAGCCCACGGAUGCCAGGGAGCAAAGGGGGCCGGGCCCUCCCUGCCUCUCUGUGACUUCUUCCUCUGGUCACCUCCUUCCUAGUCCAUUCUCUUCACUGACAGUUAGUGCCCCACACUUCCAUCCUUUCACGGAUCUUCAGAAGCUCCUCAUUCAGUCCCGUUUUCAGGCUUUUGUGGUACGUUCUGCUUUCCCAAGCAAUGGAUUCGUGUGGCCAGAAUUUUUGGUUUAUGAAAAUUCUUUACCUAAAAAUAUUAGAUGGCCAAAUCCUCCUCCUCCAAAAAGAGGGAAAGGCAAUUUCAGAUGAAGCAAUGAGAGAGAAGGAAGUUUGUUCCGGCUGUGCUGGGGGAUGGGUGGAGGCACUGCCACCAAACCGCAUUCUGCCCAAAUGGAGGUCAAGACUUUUCCCACUCUGAGCAAAGAAAGAGCUGCUGCAGAUAGCACCUCCUCCUCGCAGCUGCAACAAAAACCUGUGGGAAGGGGGUUUGGCUUUUUUUUUUUUAAGUGUUUCUUAUGGGCUGCAAAUUACAAAUUAUUCUCCUCUCCUUUCACCAAAUAAUCAACUGGUCCCUGAAUCUGAAAGCCCAGCACAAUUUAGUUUGAGUCUCAAAAUGCAGGGUCGGUUCAGCCCCGCUAAGGCUGCUCAGCUUUUAAUUUCUGGAGCAAGACUCAGCAAACAGUAAAACACUUUUGUGGAGCUGUGAACGCUGAGCUUCGCUGUGUGAUAAAUGAGCAGACAGGCAGGCAGCCCCUCUUUCUUUUUUUGUAUGGAUUCAAUGAAGCCUGCCUAAAGAACACCACAUGCUGUUCUAGCUACUGAUCUAACAUUCCGCAACAUCCCAGCCUUCCAAAUUCCCUUUAAUUACUCAUGAAUCCCACCCUUCUCUCUUUCAGCCUGGGCAGACAGAGCGGGGGGCUCCGUGGGGCUGGGGGUGGGAAGUGGAGCUCUGGAGAACCACUCUCUCCAGAGCUACUGGAAUUCUUUUUUAGGUGGAGGUGGUUGGUGGUCGUGUUACUCAUCUCUCCCGUCCAUUCUUCUCCCCAAACACCACACUCCAGGUUGAAGAUGAGGAAGGGAAAGAGUGAAAAGAGGAGCUGACAUCACUGAGCACCGCUAGGCACCAUGUCCUAAGUAAG